rnacentral:lncRNA from 1 species
UUUUGGAUAAUUUUGAUUUUUUAUUUGAGAGUAAAGGGUGAGAAGUAAAAGUUUAGGGGGAAAAUAAAAAGUUUUGGGGAAUAAAAGUUUGAGGGAAAGUAAAUAGGGAGAGUAAAAUUUUGGAGGGAAAAUAUUAAAAAAAAAUUGGAGGGGGGAGGGUUUGGGGUAGAUGGGAGGUGGGAUGGGAAGAGAAUAAAAGUUUUAGGGGAAAAUGGGAGGGAGUAAAAAUUUUGGGGGAAAAUAAAAGGUUUUAAGGGUUUUGGGAGUAAAAUUUUGAGAAAAAGUAAAUGGAAAAGUAAAAUUUUGGUGGGAAAUGGAUUUUGGGUAGAUUGGGGGGUUGGGAGGGGAGGGGAGUAAAAGUUUCGGGGGGAAAGUGGGAAGGAGUAAAAGUUUUGAGGGAAAAGUAUAAAAG